ensembl:lncRNA
UGGGUAUCAGGGCUCCCUGGGGAAGGCUGUGCCGGGCAGUGAGCCCAACUUAGGCUGUGAAGGAUAGUGGAGGUGCAGGAGGGAGCCCUGGCCCCCUUCCUCCACCUUCUGAAGUGGCCUGGGUCUCACAGAGCCAGAUUGCCAACCCAUCCUGCAAUAAAUAGCCUUGGUCUUGCUUCCUCCUAAAGUUUCCUGGGGUGGCCUGGCCUCCUGGAGGUCAGGGAUCAAGGGCUGUCAGAAGGGAAGUCACAGUGGCUUCCACAGCCUACAUCUCAGCACAGCCCAGGCCUCCACCCCCUGCUUUCUCUGCCCACCAGUCCAGCUGUGGCCCUGGGGACAGGGCUGGCCCCUCUCAGAGAGCUGGGUCAAUAUUUGUUGAGUGACUAAGUGACUGACUCAGCAUAAAUGCCAGCGCCCGCCAAGCGCUGAGGUAUGUUCUGCUGGGCCAGGCGGGGACAGGGAUUGAGUUACAGUGGCAAUGGGCAGAGCCGGGCCCCAUGCCAAGCCCAGCACUGCCCACAGGCAGGGUGAAGGCAGGAGCAGUUUCCAGCAGGUAGGCUGGGGGGGGAAGAGACUCCCGGGGCCAGGGUGGGAGGGCUGCUCCGAAUCAGGAGCGUACCACGUGGGGUCACUGGGCCCAGGGUUGCCCAGGGGCCUGACAGAGCUGGGGAGGCAGCGGAGCCAACCAGCAGGCAGCGCCCCUCCUCGCUUCCUGGAAGUCAGGCAAAGUGACCUCGGAGCCCGCCCCUUCACAGGGAGCCCUGGUGACCCCUCUGCUGAGCCAGCCAGGCUUCCUGUCCCUCUGUCACUGCUUCCCAGCUGCAGCUCCUGGCAGUACCUCUCGUCACUGCCUGCCCGUGCCCUGGUCGCUGUCAGUAGUCACUGCUGCCGCCCGUCACCGCCGAACGUCACUAUGCCUGUCCCUUGACCUCACUGCGUGUUUCCCUUUGCCUGAGACCACCAUCACACGGUCACCACGUCUGCCGUCGCUCAUGGCACUGCCACAGCAGUUCCGGGUGCAGUGAGAGAGCACGGUGACUCCAUCCACUUUCCCCUCCGCAGUCACGGGCCAGCGGACCUUUAGGGUGUCAGGCAGUGGGAGCCAGCAGUAAAUAAGAAGAGAAGCCCCUGGCCCCGGAACCCUGUACUCUAGUGAGGGAGACCAGGCCAUGAGCACUCGGGGACUCCAACUCGGGAUGAGGAGGCAGCUCUAGCCCCACGAGAACCCCCUCCCCCCUCCCCCCCACCCCCCGGUUCCCCUGGGUAGCUCCCUCCCC